rnacentral:rRNA from 1 species
UACGUAGGGAGCAAGCGUUGUCCGGAAUCAUUGGGCGUAAAGCGCGCGUAGGCGGCCUCAUAAGUCCGUUGUGAAAGUCAAAGGCUACAACCUUUGAAAGACCGAUGGAUACUGUGAGGCUAGAGUCCGGAAGAGGCGGAGUGGAAUUCCUGGUGUAGCGGUGGAAUGCGCAGAUAUCAGGAGGAACACCAAUAGCGAAGGCAGCUCGCUGGGACGGUACUGACGCUAAGGCGCGAAAGCGUGGGGAGCGAACAGG